UUUUUGGAGGUCACUCCUGUUGGAGUUUUUCCUGAGAGCCUAUGACUUGGACACAUUCGUCUGUCUUUUCUACUUUUACCGGGAAGAGUAUGUCUUAACUAACAAGGAGAACAGUGCCAGGGGAGCAGAAGCGAUCUGGCUACAGUGAUGAACAGCUUGCAAGUUAAGGUCACAAAUCCAUGAUCAUCUCUCAACAAAAAAAGAGUAUCUAACACGUCAUUAGACAGAAGCUACCAACUGUUUGACCUGAUCUUAAACAUGGAUUCAUCUCUAACAAAGAUCAUGUGUCUAUAAAUGAGUCCAAUUUCCAGAAUUUGAGCAUAUUUCUGAGAAUUAAGUCUGGGCGCUCACAUAAAUCUCAGCUCAGUAGUUUUUGAAAAGCUUUCUGUUUCUUAUUACCAUGGAAGAUGAAAAAAGAGACAAAAUUUCUUCAGACUGCUGCAACCUUUCAUGCUGUACUCCUAAAAGUUUUAUGUUCCCCUGACGGAAGCAGCUGCUAUCCUCCAGGAAGUUCUCAUAAUUUUACUAACUAAGCCACAUACCUAAUGAGAAGAUUCAACUACAAAUGCACUCUGAAUAUCAAAUACUCAGGAACUCAGCUGGGGAGAAAAUGAAUCAGUAAAAACUUUUCAUUAAGAAAUUUAAGAAAGUUUCAGAGGGACUGGAAUUGAUAGUCCCACAUUUAGAUUAUAACCUUACUUCAUGAUUGGUCCUCUUGAUAUCAUUUUGAGGGCCAAGACAUGACUAAUAUAAGGAAAAAUAUCAUGUUGGUUGUGUUUUAUGAGUAAAAGAAAAGAUCAUUUUAACUCAAACAACCUGAACAAUUUACAAGUUAAAUACAUUUUUUUCGUCGAACCAUGUUGCAAAGAACCCAACCAGCCGUUUUCAGCUAAAGAAAAACUGUUGUAAUCAAGGCUAAUCAGAAAUCUGUGUUGUCCUUCCUUCUAGGUAGUGCUAGCUUUUUAUAAAAAAAAAAUUCCUCUGAUGAAAAAAUCUAUGUCUAGGCUUUUUUGUUGUUUUUGUUUUCUUUUCUCUAAGUAGAAAUUAUGCAUUCCUUAGAAGGCAGAUGCUUUUUACUUGUAAUGCUAUAGUCAGAAUUUCCCAAGAAAUAAUGUAAUCUAAUUUCUUAAAUAGCCAUACUUGCAGAGUCUCCUCUUGAAAGUCUCAGGCAAAUUUAUAUUUUCAAAUAUCAGACGUAAAAGGAAUGUCAGUGUCUGUUUCCCACUCAGCUAAAUAAUCCAAACAAUUAAAAAAUUUCUCAGCAAAAGAAACUCUAAGCCUGCAGUAUAACAGAUCUGCCAGGGGUGUCUGCCAAAAGACCAGAUGCUCUGGCAGGAAAACGGAUAUAUUUUAUAGUACUUGCCAGUAUUAUCUGGUUGGUUUUCUUUCUAGAAGUAAAGACUGAGAUAUCGUAUAUUUGCUUGUGUUAGAAUAAAAUUUUUUAGCUGUUAUAGAAAUAUUUAUAACACGUUUUCUUAAUAGAAAACUCUUAAUAGGAAUAUUUUAAGAUACUUUCAUGCCAGUGAAAAUAAAAAUAUCUGAAAAUAUUUUGCUAGUGCCACUACGCAUUCUCAGCUAAUUAGCUUUACUCUAUAUUUAGAAUUGUGCAGUAUGAUAUGGAGGGCAUCCAUAUUAACAAUUAGCAAAUCCUUUGUGGCUUACAUAGACAACUGUCAAAUGGACAACAAUGCUUGUAUUUUCAAAAAUAAUGAUGUUUUUAUAAAACUUUUUAUAAAAUAUUAAAAAAAUGCUAAUUCUGCUUUUAUACUCUGGCAGUAUUGGCAUUUUGUAAUUGAAUCCCUCAUUUGAAAGAGAAAAAGCAUUUCCUGAAUGUAUCCCUUAAAAUGUACAAUGAUUAAAUGCAAGACAG
rnacentral:lncRNA from 1 species